GACAGAGGAGUCAAGCGUUGUCCGGAUUGACUGGGCGUAAAGCGCACGUAGGCGGACUGUUAAGUCGGGGGUGAAAUCCUGGGGCUCAACCUCAGAAUUGCCUCCGAUACUGGCAGUCUCGAGUGCGGGAGAGGUGAGUGGAAUUCCCAGUGUAGAGGUGAAAUUCGUAGAUAUUGGGAAGAACACCAGUGGCGAAGGCGGCUCACUGGCCCGUAACUGACGCUGAGGUGCGAAAGCGUGGGGAGCAAACAGG
rnacentral:rRNA from 1 species